GAUAGGAGAAUAGGAGUGAAACCAUAUCACAUAAUUUCCGACCGAAUAUAGUUCUGAUCUGAUGGGAUAUGACAUGUAAGAUGAAUUUAUCUAGCUAGCCGGACUAGACAUCUUAUUCGCGAUAGAGCUGUGCGAUUUGGUUAAUAGAAUCGGGAGUUGUGGCUCCUUCGUCCCCAAAAAAAUCACUACUCAAGAUACCAGAUUAUCCACAUUUUUAAUCAGAUUAUCUGUAAUGUGUAGUGGUUUUCAUUAUUAGUCAAAAAAAAACAGGGCCCAUCUUCUAAUAAUACAGUUUUCACCCCAUAUGAUACGAUAUGAUCAUUGUCCGUCUGAAUUCGAUCUGAUUUCACCCUUAGUAAGAAGAGCCCGCAAGGAGCAUUAGGUGUAGAGAAACGAGUCCACAUAAGUUACAAACCCUCCACCCCCUUCCCUCCUCUCGAAUAGCACUUCUCCUUGGACAAUUAUUUGUAUGCCAUCUGCCUCAGAAUUUAUAUUUCUAUACUUUUUAUCUAAAAAAUAUGGACCGUUCCUUUCACCGUCGUCUGUCAAACUUUCCAAAAAUUUGUGGGCCCCCAAAAUUGCAUGUAUAUUAGGCCUACUAAGCCAGCUGGCCUGUUACUCGCACCGAAUUGGACUGAAACUCCGCGAGGGAAUCCAUCGCCAGUGGGAUCGAUCGUUACGAGAGUCGGGCAACAAUUCUGAAUCUGACGAGAAAAAGAUCGCUCCGCCGAAACACUGCGGGAGUCGGAAGAUGAGACCCGAUCGGGCACCCACCGGGCAAGAAAUCAAAGCCACGGCCGUCCCCUCUAUCUCCCAGACGUGGCCACGGCUGGUCUCCUCUUCUGUUUCCCAGCCACGGCCGUCUCCUCCUAGAGCUAAAUUACACGAGGAGAUGGCAAAUUGUUAGAAGAACGCCUAAGGCAUAGUAGAGAGAAUAAGAGAUGAUGGGACAAGACGUCUUCAUGACUUUGUUCUAUGAGCAUGACUGAGCGAGAGAGAUGGCUAAAACAUGCCAGGCAUGCCAAUCACGAAAUCUGUUGAGUCUGAAACUCUGGAUGACUUAAGAAAGGUUAAGAUAAUAAAGAGGAUGAUCUGUCCUCUAUUGAUUAAUUUAAAUGACAUAGUCGCCUGUUUUCCUCUUCUAUAUCUACGUCAGUCCCUGCCACCUUCGGCUGUGCUCGAGGGAUCAUCACCUUCAUCCAGGAUAUCACCCGGGAGGCAGCUUAUCUGACGGCGGACCAUGCAUGAUGGAGGCACCUCUGCCUUGGGCAAUGGGUCGGAUGGCGACUUGGGGGCGGGGGGUGGUCAUGGCCGAUUGGCCAUGAAACAACCCGCGAGAACCACAGUUCCCCGGGCACACUCUGCCAAGCUUGGCAACCAUCUGCGCUCCAUCAACCAUGGACAACCUCACAACCCCUUGCACUGGCCGUGGAAGAUUCCCUGCCCUGCCAUGCCCAUUGCCGCCACCAGACACAUACUCCAGGAGUCCAGGAGCAGUAUUGAUGAUCCAUUGAUGGUUGGAUCAGGCUCUCUCUCUGAUGCUCCUGUAUUAGAUCUUUGGAUCUCAUUCAAAAUGAAAUGCUAGAGAACAUGAACAUGGCCUUUUUGGUUUGGGUGCCAACUAUUUUCCAAGUUCAGUUAAUUGUUGUGCCCCAUUACAUUUAUUCCGUAAUUUUCUACUUUCUUCUUUAAACAAUGGAAUCCACAUUCAUGAGGUUUUAUCCCACUUUUCAGUAUGUUACCUCCUAUCCAUCUGUUUUGAUAUGAUUGAUAGCUGCUACUGAAAGUAAUAUAUUAUAGAUAUUGGGCAGGAUCAAUCUCUGCCUACCUGUUAUAGAAUAUGACAGGAUGUUUUUGCACAUUAAAUGUCUGAGCUUAUUCUUUUUUUAUGAGCAACAAUCCAACAUAUGUUUUAGCAUGUUGCUCAAGAAUAGACCUUUUUUUUCCACUUGGUGUUUUUGCACAUUAAAUCUGAAAUGGAUGAGUGUUAUCAGAAAGUUGUGCUGCCGAAUAUAAAGUUCAGACUUCCUUGUUUGGUCAUCAACGCACCUGCUUCUGAAUCCACUUUGUUUUGCUUCUUUUCUCGUCUAAGAUGUUUUCCUGUCUAAUAUUUUAUUUGCUGCAGUGCAAUUUGGACCAUCUUGAAAAAUGCACUCCCCUCUGUUCAUUUUUUUUGUGGCCUUAGCAAACUACUAGCUCCAAUGCUAAGGAGAGCACUAACUACUAGCUCCAUUUCUACUUUAAGGAGAGCAUGACCGAAGGUGGGUCUCAUCUGAUUUAAAUAUCCCCAUGGUUAUAACCUGCAAUACCAAAUAUUUUAUUCUACUACAGGGCCGUAGAUAUGACUAGGCCAGGAACUAUUAGCGUGAACACACGUCCUGUUCCACUUCUUGACUUUCGGAAGCCCUAGGGUCUUUGUGAAUUAGUUUAAAAGAAUUUUGAUGUUCCAUUUACUCUUUAGUCUUGACAUCUGCUGAUCACCAAUUGAUAUUGAGCUAUACUUUUUGAACACUUACAUUGAACAGCUGAUAUAUUGCUCUUGCUAACUUAAGCUGAUAUUUUGAUACGCUGUGCAGUAAGCAAAAGCUCAUUCUACAAUGUUGUAUCUAUUGUGCCUUGAACUAAAAAAAAAUGCUGUACCUAUUUCUUUCAAUGUUUUCCUGGUGCAGAUAAUCCAAAAUUUGAGUUUAUGAAACAUGCUCAGGAAUGUGGUGCAAUUUUUUGGUGCCUACACAAGAGUGCCCCAACUUAGAUAUUAUAACAGGAGGCCUACUGCAGCUACACGUUCACCUGCAGCUGUAGCACAGUAGUAGUGAAACUGAAACAAUACUGAUGUCUAUCCUAUUGUGCAUACUGCUGCCCUUCCUCUGUUUUGGUUACUCAUGCUGCUCUCGCUCUCCCCUCGCUCCCCUCGUCGUGGUGGCUCGUUCCGGCGGCAUCCUCUCCGGCUGCCCUUCCUCGGUGCGACGGAUACUUGUCUUCAGCCACACAAUGUUGAGCUUGCGGCCACUCUUGGUACUGUUUUUGGUACAAAUUUCAGUAGGAUUAGUACUGUUUUUGUAUGCUUGUAAACUUUCAGUACAAUUGGUACUCCGGCCGUUCUUAAAUGUAAGAUGUUUUACCUUUGUCCUAA